AUUGAACGCUGGCGGCAUGCUUUACACAUGCAAGUCGAACGGUAACAGGCCUUCGGGUGCUGCCGAGUGGCGAACGGGUGAGUAAUGCAUCGGAACGUGCCCAGAGUUGGGGGAUAACGCAGCGAAAGCUGUGCUAAUACCGCAUGUGAUCUGAGGAUGAAAGCGGGGGACCAAGCAGCAAUGUUUGGCCUCGCGCCUCUGGAGCGGCCGAUGUCAGAUUAGGUAGUUGGUGGGGUAAAGGCCUACCAAGCCGACGAUCUGUAGCUGGUCUGAGAGGACGACCAGCCACACUGGGACUGAGACACGGCCCAGACUCCUACGGGAGGCAGCAGUGGGGAAUUUUGGACAAUGGGCGCAAGCCUGAUCCAGCAAUGCCGCGUGCGGGAAGAAGGCCUUCGGGUUGUAAACCGCUUUUGUACGGAACGAAAAGGCUCUGGCUAAUACCUGGGGCUGAUGACGGUACCGUAAGAAUAAGCACCGGCUAACUACGUG
rnacentral:rRNA from 1 species